CCCUUAGAUGUUCUGGGCCGCACGCGCGCUACAAUGAUGAAUUCAACGAGUUUAUAACCUUGGUUGAAAAGCCUGGGUAAUCUUUUGAACUUUCGUCGUGAUGGGGCUAGACCCUUGCAAUUAUUGGUCUCCAACGAGGAAUUCCUAGUAAACGCAAGUCAUCAGCUUGCAUUGAUUACGUCCCUGCCCUUGUACACACCGCCCGUCGCACCUACCGAUUGAAUGGUCCGGUGAAAUCUUCGGAUUGAGACUUUGAUUUCUUCACGGAAAACGCUGUUUUAAAAAGUUGAUUAAACCUUACCAUUUAGAGGAAGGUGAAGUCGUAACA
rnacentral:rRNA from 1 species